rnacentral:lncRNA from 1 species
UCAAUUUUCGAGGACGAAAAUUUUUGUUGUUGGGGAGAAUAUAAGAACCUAAGAAUAUGUAUAAUAUAUGUAUAAAUAUUAAAAGAAGUUGGGGGCGAAACUGAAUUAAAAUAAAAGGGAGGGGUCAUUUAACUAAAAAGAACCAGUUUAAUUUUGCUGCUGGACUUUCUGAUAAGCAUAAGCCAUUCUCUCAAGAACGUUUCUCUCUCUAGACCUCAUGAUGAGUUGAUAUUUUAUUGACU